rnacentral:rRNA from 1 species
UACGUAGGUGGCAAGCGUUGUCCGGAUUUAUUGGGUUUAAAGGGUGCGUAGGCGGUCUUUUAAGUCAGUGCUGAAAUAUCCCGGCUUAGCCGGGAGGGUGGCAUUGAUACUGAAGGACUUGAGUAAAGUUGAGGUAGGCGGAAUUGACGGUGUAGCGGUGAAAUGCUUAGAUAUCGUCAAGAACACCGAUAGUGUAGACAGCUUACUAAGCUUUAACUGACGCUGAGACGCGAAAGCGUGGGGAGCGAACGGG